GAUGAACGCUGGCGGCGUGCCUAAUACAUGCAAGUCGAGCGAACUGAUUAGAAGCUUGCUUCUAUGACGUUAGCGGCGGACGGGUGAGUAACACGUGGGCAACCUGCCUGUAAGACUGGGAUAACUUCGGGAAACCGAAGCUAAUACCGGAUAGGAUCUUCUCCUUCAUGGGAGAUGAUUGAAAGAUGGUUUCGGCUAUCACUUACAGAUGGGCCCGCGGUGCAUUCGCUAGUUGGUGAGGUAACGGCUCACCAGGGCAACGAUGCAUAGCCGAACUGAGAGGGUGAUCGGCCACACUGGGACUGAGACACGGCCCAGACUCCUACGGGAGGCAGCAGUAGGGAAUCUUCCGCAAUGGACGAAAGUCUGACGGAGCAACGCCGCGUGAGUGAUGAAGGCUUUCGGGUCGUAAAACUCUGUUGUUAGGGAAGAACAAGUACGAGAGUAACUGCUCGUACCUUGACGGUACCUAACCAGAAAGCCACGGCUAACUACGUGCCAGCCGCCGCCGUAAUAC
rnacentral:rRNA from 1 species